rnacentral:lncRNA from 1 species
CCCGCUCGGCGGCUCCAUAUAAGGGCGAGGGGGAGGGACCCCCCUGCCCCAACCUUCUCAUCCUUGCUUCCCACUCUUACUCACUAUUGCCCCGGUAAUGGCACCAGCGAAGAGGUCCAUUGGCGCCGAGAGGAAGACGACAUCAAAGAGAGGAGCGGGUGCGCGACGGUCGACGAUGGAGGCAUGACAUCCCCACGCGCCUGUUGCUGCGCUCAAGGCACCUCCUGGG